rnacentral:rRNA from 1 species
AGUGAACGCUGGCGGCGUGCUUAACACAUGCAAGUCGAACGAGAACGGAUUAUAGCUCGCUAUAAUUGUCAGCUAAGUGGCGCACGGGUGAGUAAUGUAUAGGUAAUAUGCCUCUUACUAAGGGAUAACAAAUGGAAACGUUUGCUAAUACCUUAUACUCCUUAUUAACAGAAGUUAAUAAGGGAAAGAUUUAUUGGUAAGAGAUUAGCCUGUAUUGUAUCAGUUAGUUGGUGGGGUAAUGUCUUACCAAGACUAUGACACAUAACUGGUUUGAGAGGAUGGUCAGUCACACUGGAACGGAGACACGGUACAGACUCCUACGGGAGGCAGCAGUGGGGAAUAUUGCACAAUGGACGAAAGUCUGAUGCAGCAACGCCGCGUGGAGGAUGACACAUUUCGGUGCGUAAACUCCUUUUAUAUGAGAAGAUAAUGACGGUAUUAUAUGAAUAAGCACCGGCUAACUCCGUGCCAGCCGCCGCGGUAA